rnacentral:rRNA from 1 species
GGACUACCCGGGUAUCUAAUCCUGUUUGCUCCCCACGCUUUCGCACCUCAGCGUCAGUAAUGGACCAGUGAGCCGCCUUCGCCACUGGUGUUCCUCCGAAUAUCUACGAAUUUCACCUCUACACUCGGAAUUCCACUCACCUCUUCCAUACUCCAGAUCGACAGUAUCAAAGGCAGUUCCAGGGUUGAGCCCUGGGAUUUCACCCCUGACUGAUCGAUCCGCCUACGUGCGCUUUACGCCCAGUAAUUCCGAACAACGCUAGCCCCCUUCGUAUUACCGCGGCUGCUGGCAC